AUAGUCCAAAUAACAAUUUACAUUAUAUUACAAAAGCGCAGUGAAUACUGGAAUUGACAUUUGUACAAACAAAUCCUUCACUAACAAAAAAAACCCCAUUCCAGAUUGAAAAGCCUACUGUUUAUUCCUUAUUAAGAAUCAUCUUCAUUGUUUCUAGUGGGAGAAGAUGAAGCCUUUCUAUCAGAUGACGGAGAAGAGCUUUUACAUUGUAGAGUCAAAGCCCCCAAGGUGCUUAUUAAGGAGACCAGCGUUUUAAAUCCCAUUUUUGGAAUGACAACAAAAACACUCCUACAAUUUACACUCAGAUAAGAAGAUAAACAUGUUGACGAGACAAAAUGUUCGCAAUACUGCAUUUAGAUGAUGCUGGUUAAUUGAAAUUCAGAGAACAUCCGGACCACACAUAGUACGUGUAUAUUUGCCGCGAGUGCAUCGCAGUGGUGAAACUACAUGUGGAAAGAAGAGAGAGAGAAGAAUCCAUUUACCUUUUUAACUUAAUCACACACAGAGUGGGUCGGCGUUAAACGGGAUGGUGAACAUGUUUAGAAGCCAAUCAUGUUGACAUUAGCCAUAGUGUUUUGUCAGCAUCCAGUAUCAGUACAAGUCAAUGGGGAAUUAAUGUUUUGAGCACAACCAAUCAGAAGGUUUUACUAGUGAUUUGAUGAGUGUCAACUAUGUCUUUAGUGUUUGAUUUCUUUACAUACUUCUGACUGCUCGCUCUCCUGGAGCUGAAACGGAGUGUAACACUACUGCGAACUAUUAAUGGUACCCAAGACAUUUUGAAUUUUAGUCAGUCUGUCAAUGAAAACCAACACGUGAUUGGUCACAUUAUGGGGUUAUGGGUGCCUGGUGUUCUGUCCUUGACUGCAAACGGCUUGUUUGAAGUUAAAUAUACAAGCGAGAGGAAGUAAAGGUUAAAUGAGCAAUGUUAUUUGUUAUAACUAAAGUAACUGAGUAAAAAGAUCCAUGUGACAAGGUUAUUUAAAAUGAGACGAAAAUGAAAUGUAACAUUGGGUAUACCAUUUAAAUGUUCAAAAGAGAAACGGCAAGUGAAAUCUAAAUAAGUAUGUGGAAGAAGAACGUUUUUAUACCUUAUCGACCUCUUUAUGCAACAACAAACCAACCUGAAGACCAUUGCAUCUCGACAUACAUUAAAAGUGAUCGAAGCAGUCGGCGAUGGACAUUAAAUUCUGAUAUGAUUUCAGCACAACAUUCAAGGGUAGUAAAAGCUGCAGAUUACAUCUGUAGAGCUACUACCAAAUGUAGUCAACCAACAAAAAGCUGCCAUUUUGGAUGUGACCAUAAGAAAUGACAAACCUGAUUCCAAACACACGUGGCAGACUGUUCCUAAAAUGCAACCAAUAAAACCUGAACUGAUCAAGAGCACAUGAAAAGGAGGGAAGUAUCAAUUGAUUUCACUUCUACCUGCCAUGUUGUGCUCUACUUUUGCAACUGAGGCCGCAGAAACAGCUUUAUAGAAACUAUGAGAAGUAUCUCAUGACAUUCCACCUCUUUCUCACUGCCGUUAAUUUCAAAAUCACCCCCCAGCAGCUGUUUGCUGCUGGGAUCUGAACUGCACAUUGUUGUGGAUUUACACAUUUUGGGAGUUGAUCUGAGAGAGUAGAAGACAGACAGACACACACACACACACACACACACACACACACACACACACACACACAAAGCAGGAAGAGACAUCAAAGAUCAGUGAAAAUAUUUUGUUCAGAUAUGGCAUAGUAUUUUCCUGUACAUGAGGUUGUGUUUUGUAAACGCAUUUGUUUUUCUAAAGUGUUUGUUUUUAAAGGGCAUUUCACCGUAUAGAACAGUUCAGCGAAACCAACUCGUUUUGAACUCUGAACAAUGGUCAAGCUUCACUAUUAUUAUUAUUGCACUUUUACAAAGAGGGCAGGGAUGGCUUUAGGGGGCCCACACAGCUGUCUUUUCUCCAAAGAAGAAGCGACAGCGUGGCACAGUCUAGACCGAGAGGAGGAAACCUCUUCUCUGAUUGCUCGGCAGCUUGUUUCCCUCCAGAUGGCUGUGGAUCGGUGGAGCCCGGUCUGCUCUUCUUUAGGGUGGUGGGAUGGAGGGCUCGGUCACAGCCAGUUCCUGAGCCAGGUCAUUGAAGCGAGCGAUGUAGUCCACGCUGCUCUCACUCAUCAUACAAGCAAGCUGAGAGUCCAUCUGCAAGCACAACCAAAGAGCGUUUAUUAUACAGCAAUGGCAACAGCCUCAACAGCAGCAAAGAUGACUGAAUAAAUAUAAAAAUCCCAUUUUCCCACCCAAGGCUUCUGGUAUUUAAAUUUUGCUAUAUACGCUUAUUUACUUUCUGGGGGAGCGUUAGAUGAGAAGAUAAAUACCACUCUCAUGUCUGUCUGUUAAAUAUAGGGCUUCAGCCAGCAGCCACUUAGCUUAGCCCCCCCCCCCCGGUAAAAUGUUGAAUUUAAGUUUCUACACUUUUUUAAAGGUGAUGGUAGGAGGAUUUUAUUACCUUUGGACUAGGAUUUGGAACCAAAAACCAAUUUCAAAUUAGAACUGAAUCCAAAAGUCCAUGAACUGAGUACCUGUUAAAACUUUUUUUAAUUUCAGCUCUGCUUAUAAACUCCUAAAAGCAAUAACCUUUGAUUGCUAUAAACAAAGGCAACAUAUCAACAAGGACCUGUCUACGUCAUGCUGAAACGGAGGGUCUGCUGGGGGCUUUCCGGCUCUACAGGAAGGCCACGGGACUGAAAGGAAUCAUGGGAGUUGCAGUCCAGGAGGCUAGGACCAAGCAGAGCUGUGCCACUGGAGGGGCCAGAGGGGGUUAGGGUGGUCCGCCUGCCCUUAUCAGGAGAGACCAUGCUGGCUGGAAGGUAAAGAGGCAGGGAACAGGGAGAGGAUGAAUAAAGAGGACAGCACACAUGAAGAGUGGAAAAACAUCGCUCCAAGAGGAAGUCUGCAGCUGUGUCAGUGUUGCUGUGUUUAAUAAGAUAAUGAAUAUGUGAAGGCAGGAGUUAUUUGUAAAGGUUUACUCUAAAAUUUGUUACUGUGUUAGUGGCUUUAUUUAUUUGUCUGACACGUAUUUAAAGCUGGCAUGUGCUGGUGUUAGAGCCCAGCCAAUAGGAGCAAAUUGCAGAUAUCAGUGUUUAUAACAGCCGAUAAGUGACAAUUAAAAAGAAAGAGAGACAGAAGUCGGAUCUCCAAUAUACGUUAUGAGUGUUGUUGCAUAUUUUGUCCACCAGACACUGGCAACACCUGUCUGGAGGCCAAAAUUCACCGCAAAACACAGCAAUCAGCGGACAACAGCUGUACCUUUGUUCAUUUUCUGUACUGUUGUUUAUUUUAACUGCAUUAUGUCAUGUUAUCUUGGUGAGGCGCCACAACUACACAAAAUAUGUCAGGGAUAAUCUUCUGAAAAGGUUUCUGAAAAGAAGAAAAUCAGCUAAUAUAUCAGAAUAUCGGAUUUUAAAAUCCUCAAAUAUCAAAAUCGGUAUUGAUCUUAAAAAUCCUAUGUUGUUCACGCGCUAAUUGGUCAAUUUGACAAAGUUUUGAUAUUUCAGACACAACACGGGUCGUCUGUGUUUCCAGCAUUAGAAUUUUCAAUGAUAGAAACCAAUCAUAUAUCAAUAAGUUGAUUUUAGAGUUUUCAUUGACACAAGCAUCAACUCUUUGAUAGGAAGCACACAGUAGACUUCAGUACAGCUAUAAUUUGAUAAUAAACACAUUUGGAAAAUUAGUAGUAGUAGUAUCUGCACGUGUAAAGACUUACAGAGAAGGCAUCCCAGUGUUGAGUCUGAUGAGUCGCUGGGGUACCACUGGGGGUCGUGGCUGGGCGAUGGGAUCCAGCCUCUGGACGGGCUGACUGAGGGAGACGUGGCCAACAGUUUGGAGCCGUCGUUGCUCAGCUUGGCUGAAGAGAGUGUGGCCUCCUCACCUGUAGCAGCCAUUACAUUAUACACACCAUGUUCAAUGAGCCUGACAUCUCAGAAGUUUAGUUUGUUGCAUGUCAACAGGUUCUUUCUACAGAAUACUCACACAUAUGUUCACACUGUCCCACAUGCAAGACAACCUCUCAUGAGAACGCAAAACCGAACCCUGUCGGUGUGGGCUUUAAUUUAAUGCUAAUGCCCGUCUGCAAUUUGUAAUUUUUUUGCAGAAAUACUUUACACUGGAUUUCCACACACAUGUUGGCAUGUAGGAUAUAACAGACGCACCAUAGUGGGCAGAGUUGAUGGCGAGCUCAAUGAUGGAGUCACUGAUGUGUGUCUGAGGUUCUCCGGGGGCGAGAGCCUCUUCAGGGGGACCGGGGAGAGAGAUGUCCAGGAGCGAGGCUACACUUGGCGGAGAGAGGAGAGAGUCCCCACCACCGGUCGCUCCAGGAGAUGGUGGAGGCACACCAUUCUGUCAAAAAAAGAACAAGUUGAACACUUAAAUUGGGGCUGUUUUGUUCGCUCAGCAGAAAAUAGCCCACAAAAACCCAAACCUCGCUGGACAAUAGGAACACUCAGGACAACAACAUGCAAGGCACUGACAAACUACAAUAGUCACAAGUCAACCUUCAGGCUUGAGUAGAAAUGUGCAAAAGACUUUUUUUAACUGUUGUGGGUCCCAACUCAACAUCAAUAUGUUGUUGUUUCUUAUAACAAUAACACACAUUUCCUGCAGUCAGCCAUCAUGUUAUUCUUGUGCCUCUUCACCCUCACAGUAAAGCACACCACGGCGCUGUAGGUUGUACUGUACAUUAUCCUACCAAAAUGUGACUGCAUUCACGUUGAACUGCAGAUAUUUAGCCUCAACUUUAACCAGCUCUGAUCUGGUGUUCAGUAAACGGUAAUGAUAACCACUAUACCGAAUCAUCUUUCUCAUCACGUCUGAUUGUAUGUGAUCAGAAAUUUGUUUGAUAUUUAGACAGAUAACUACUGAGAAUCCCCAGAUGAGAAUAGUUUGAUGUUAAAUGUGGUAACCAAAAUGGUCAUGGUGUUAUCUACCACUACUACAAGAAAUUCACUAGCUGUUAAUUAAGUUACGCUUAUUCCAAUUAAACAAGUAAGAAAAGUCCAUUAGUCCAAGAGUUAUUGGAGUUUUGCCAUGCUCUGGUUAGUAAGAGUACUUAUAAAAAAGGCACCGUGUUAACUGUCUAGACAGAAAAAUGCAAUAGCCAUUUAGCAUAACUGUGAGGAAGAGACAUUAAACGAAAGUAUGUGUAGACUCCAAGUGAGGCAAA